UACGAGAGGCCCAAACGUUUAUUCGGAAUUACUGGGCUUAAAGAGUUCGUAGGCGGCGCAGAAAGUAGGGUGUGAAAGCCCUCGGCUUAACCGAGGAAUUGCGCUCUAAACUACUGUGCUCGAGGGACCUAGAGGUGAGCGGAACUGAUGGUGGAGCGGUGAAAUGCGUUGAUAUCAUCAGGAACACCGGAGGCGAAGGGCGGCUCACUGGGGGGUCU
rnacentral:rRNA from 1 species